rnacentral:rRNA from 1 species
AGGACGAACGCUGGCGGCGUGCUUAACACAUGCAAGUCACGGGGGCCCGCAAGGGUAACCGGCGAACGGGUGCGUAACACGUGAGCAACCUGCCUAGAUGUGGGGGAUAGCCGGCCCAACGGCCGGGUAAUACCGCAUACGGUCACGAGGAGGAGUCUCCUUGUGAAGAAACCUCCGGGGCAUUUAGAGGGGCUCGCGGCCUAUCAGCUAGUUGGCGGGGUAAUGGCCCACCAAGGCUUCGACGGGUAGCUGGUCUGAGAGGAUGGCCAGCCACAUUGGGACUGAGAGACGGCCCAGACUCCUACGGGAGGCAGCAGUGGGGAAUCUUGCGCAAUGGCCGAAAGGCUGACGCAGCGACGCCGCGUGUGGGAGGACGCCCUUCGGGGUGUAAACCGACUGUUGCCCGGGACGAACAUCCACUUUCGAGUGGACUGACGGUACCGGGUGAGGAGCACCGGCUAACUCCGCGCCAGCAGCCGC